ensembl:snoRNA
UGUGUGUGUGUUGAGGCACAAAAAGGUGCAAUGCUAUGUCUUCAGUGCCAGGAUGUUUCUUGUCUUCUGGUUCUAUUCUCAGUCGCUGGUACACUA